rnacentral:misc_RNA from 1 species
CUAAGGAGCAUCUGCUCGGUCGUCUCGAAGAGUCGAGGUCGGUCGUGCCAGAGCCGCUGAUGUCCCCGAAUGUGGGACUGCGGAGCUCAUGGGUGGAACGCUGACAGCUUCCGUCAUGGAUGGUCAGGGCUCAGUUCCUGAUCGUGGUGGAUAUAUCGACACACUGUUGGGUCCUGAAAGAACAGACGUUCUUUCCAGGCAAGAGAUACGAUCCGCUCGGGUCUUCGGUCAUACCGGCUUCGCCUUUCGGGGUGGGGUGCUGGUGCCAAGUCGAGGUUUGAGUGGGUGUGUUGUUUGAGAACUGCACAGUGGACGCGAGCAUCUUUGUUUGUAAGUGUUUAAGAGCGUUC